rnacentral:rRNA from 1 species
CCUACGGGUGGCAGCAGUGGGGAAUUUUGGACAAUGGGGGCAACCCUGAUCCAGCCAUGCCGCGUGCGGGAAGAAGGCCUUCGGGUUGUAAACCGCUUUUAGCCGGGAAGAAAAGGCAAGGGUCACCACCUCUUGUUCUUGACGGUACCGGCGGAAUAAGCACCGGCUAACUACGUGCCAGCAGCCGCGGUAAUACGUAGGGUACGAGCGUUAAUCGGAGUGACUGGGGGUGGUGCGUGCGCUGGCAGGUGAAAGCCCCGGGCUCAACCUGGGAACGGCAUUGGAUACUGGCGGGCUGGAGUGUGGCAGAGGGGGGUGGAAUGCCGCGUGUAGCAGUGAAAUGCGUAGAGAUGCGGAGGAACACCGAUGGCGAAGGCAGCCCCCUGGGCUGACACUGACGCUCAGGCACGAAAGCGUGGGGAGCAAACAGGAUUAGAUACCCUAGUAGUC